rnacentral:rRNA from 1 species
UGGGGAAUUUUGGACAAUGGGGGCAACCCUGAUCCAGCCAUGCCGCGUGAGUGAAGAAGGCCUUCGGGUUGUAAAGCUCUUUCGGCGGGGACGAAACGGUCCGUGACAACACCACGGACUAAUGACAGUACUCGCAGAAGAAGCACCGGCUAACUACGUGCCAGCAGCCGCGGUAAUACGUAGGGACCAAGCGUUGUUCGGAUUUACUGGGCGUAAAGCGUGCGCAGGCGGUUGUGUAAGUCAGAUGUGAAAUCCCCGGGCUCAACCUGGGAAUUGCAUUUGAGACUGCACGGCUAGAGUGUGUCAGAGGGGGGUAGAAUUCCACGUGUAGCAGUGAAAUGCGUAGAUAUGUGGAGGAAUACCGAUGGCGAAGGCAGCCCCCUGGGAUAACACUGACGCUCAUGCACGAAAGCGUGGGGAACAAACAGGAUUAGAUACCCCCGUAGUCCCUGAGCGGGCUGGCAAGGCGCAU